rnacentral:ncRNA from 2 species
AAGAGCCGUAUGAUGGAGACCAUCACGGACGGUUCUGUGAGAAUUUCGGGUUGAAAUACCUGGGUUUACUCGAU